rnacentral:rRNA from 1 species
AUCAGUGGCGAACGGGUGAGUAACACGUGAGCAAUCUGCCCUUGACUCUGGGAUAACUGCGGGAAACUGUAGCUAAUACCGGAUACGACCUGAAGAGGCAUCUUUUUGGGUGGAAAGAAUUUUGGUCAAGGAUGAGCUCGCGGCCUAUCAGCUUGUUGGUGAGGUAAUGGCUCACCAAGGCGACGACGGGUAGCCGGCCUGAGAGGGUGACCGGCCACACUGGGACUGAGACACGGCCCAGACUCCUACGGGAGGCAGCAGUGGGGAAUAUUGCACAAUGGGCGCAAGCCUGAUGCAGCAACGCCGCGUGAGGGACGAAGGCCUUCGGGUUGUAAACCUCUUUUAGUAGGGAAGAAGCGACUGGGUUUUCCUGGGAGUGACGGUACCUGCAGAAAAAGCACCGGCUAACUACGUGCCAGCAGCCGCGGUAAUACGUAGGGUGCAAGCGUUGUCCGGAAUUAUUGGGCGUAAAGAGCUCGUAGGCGG